rnacentral:siRNA from 1 species
GGGUGUUUGGUCUAGUGGUAUGAU